rnacentral:snoRNA from 1 species
CUGCAGCUUAUUAAGCCGACCAGUUGUGCUUUCUGUGCGUCUCUGGUGUGCAAAGGCUGCAGACAGUGACUCUGUGGUUGUGUAUGUCCUCAGCUGGGAGGUGCUGAGUGCUUUAAGGGACCGCUGAGACAGAG